rnacentral:rRNA from 1 species
GAUGAACGCUGGCGGCGUGCCUAAUACAUGCAAGUCGAACGAAACUUCUUUAUCACCGAGUGCUUGCACUCACCGAUAAAGAGUUGAGUGGCGAACGGGUGAGUAACACGUGGGCAACCUGCCCAAAAGAGGGGGAUAACACUUGGAAACAGGUGCUAAUACCGCAUAACCAUAGUUACCGCAUGGUAACUAUGUAAAAGGUGGCUAUACUACCGCUUUUGGAUGGGCCGCCGGCGCAUUAGCUAGUUGGUAGGGUAAAGGCUUACCAAGGCAAUGAUGCGUAGCCGAAUUGAGAGGUUGAUCGGCCACAUUGGGACUGAGACACGGCCCAAACUCCUACGGGAGGCAGCAGUAGGGAAUCUUCCACAAUGGGCGAAAGCCUGAUGGAGCAACGCCGCGUGGGUGAAGAAGGUCUUCGGAUCGUAAAACCCUGUUGUUAGAGAAGAAAGUGCGUGAGAGUAACUGUUCACGUUUCGACGGUAUCUAACCAGAAAGCCACGGCUAACUACGUG